rnacentral:lncRNA from 1 species
UGUGGUUGGACACAAGAAGCUCUGGAUCACGGCCUAAUAGGUGCAGCAUCUCUUCACAGCUUUGCGCACACUUCACACUUCAGCUUCACCUCUUCAUGGAACCGGUUUGAAGUCUCCCCCUCUCAACUGACUUCGAAGCCAUCUUAGAGAAGCUAGGACACGACUAGAUCAUCUUCAAAAACACCAGUGAGGCUGAUCAACACUUCACACACGGCCUGCCCUCUUCAUCAACCAGGUUUGGAAUCUCCCCCUCUCA